AUGCAUUUAGAUUUUGAAGAGUACGAUUUUAAUAAUCGAAAAUCGAAGAAAUCGAAGUGCAAUAAAAAGUUGCUGAUGUAAACAGAGACAUCAGGGCCGCCAGAUUUUAAGUAUCAUCUGAGUGGUAGUAUACGUCUCGUACAUUU